rnacentral:rRNA from 1 species
UCCGGUGGCAAGAGCGGAGGGGAAACACCCGUACCCAUUCCGAACACGGCAGUUAAGCCCUUCAGCGCUGAUGAUACUUCGAGGGUAACCUCGUGGGAAAGUAGGUCGUUGCCGGGA